ACUAAACUUAUAAUAGUUCCGGUUUCUAGCUCAUGCGAACGUUUUCAAAAUGAUCAGAUAUAAGAAGGGAAAAGGAUUUAUAAGCAAAGACUUCCUGACAAUCUCGUAUUUUGUUGUGGGUAGAUAUGAAACGUCAGUCUAGGGAAAUAAUGAUGUGAUGGCCAGAUAAAUAUAUUUACAGACUUUACUUAGCGAUCAUAUCAAUCUGUCUACAGCGAUCACAUCAAUCUGUCUACAGCGAUCACAUCAAUCUGUCUACAGCGAUCACAUCAAUCUGUCUACAGCGAUCACAUCAAUCUGUCUACAGCGAUCACAUCAAUCUGUCUACAGCGAUCACAUCAAUCUGACUACACCGACACAAGAUGUCUAUGGACAACAAGAAGUCUAUAACUGCAAAUGACUUUCUUCGCUUAAUCAGGUCUUUAGGAGGCUUCAAUGAUACCAAUGAGGGAUGUAAGUCAAUCAUAGACGAAAGACAAUUUUAUCAGAUUUCUUUGAUACCAGCAUUCUGCUUGACUCUGAUGAUGGCCCUCUCAAUUCAAAGAACUCGGUUAUGGUCCAGUUGCUUGAAAGGUCGUCCUGGAUUAGUCUA